rnacentral:rRNA from 1 species
AUUGAACGCUGGCGGCCUGCCUAACACAUGCAAGUCGAGCGAAGCGGCUGACGGGUGAGUAAUGCCUAGGAAUCUGCCUGGUAGUGGGGGCUAACUUCCGGAAACGGGAGCUACUACCGCAUACUCUCAGAUCAGCCAAGGUCUGAUUAGCUAGUUGGUGGGGUAAAGGCCUACAAAGGCGACGAUCCGUAACUGGUCUGAGAGGAGGAUCAGACACACUGGAAUGGAGACACGGUCCAGACUCCUACGGGAGGCAGCAGUGGGGAAUAUUGGACAAUGGGCGAAAGCCUGAUCCAGCCAUGCAGAGUGUGUGAAGAAGGUCUUCGGAUUGUAAAGCACGUUAAGUUGGGAGGCGUUACCAACAGAAUAAGCACCGGCUAACUUCGUGCCAGCAGCCGCGGUAAUAC